AAAAAGGCAAACCCUAGGUUUCCGUGUCCAACUUUGACUGUCUGUCUUAUAUGAAAUUUUUUUAUAAUUCGUAUUUUCAUUGUUGUUAGAUGAUAAAACAUGAUUAAUAUUUUAUGCGUGACUUGUCUUUUUAAUUUUUUUUAUAAUUUUUUCAAAUAAGACGAACGGUCAAACAUUGGACACGGAAACCAGGGUUUGUCUUUUU
rnacentral:pre_miRNA from 1 species